rnacentral:tRNA from 1 species
CGGAAUUGGUACACGCUACGGACUUAAAAUCCGU